GUGUAGUUCCGGGAGCCAGCUCGCGGCCGGGGCGGCGGGCCGUCGCGGAGCUGACGUCAUCGCCGUGCGCUGCCACGUCUGCUCAGCUACGCGGUAAUGGAGGCUAAGGAUGAGUGCUGACGGGGCCGGGCUCUGCCUCUAGCUGUAGCUCUGGCUCUGACUCUGGCACUGACUUCGGGUCUGGGUCAACAGCCCGAAGCCUGGAAAGCUUUUCUCUACUCUCCUGGAGAGGACGGCCUGCGGACAAGCAGCUGUUUUGGAGCACCUCAGCUUGGGGAGGGAGUUCUCUUUCCUGGGGUCCAGCCUGUAAAGCCGCCGCCUCCUUCCAGGGAUCCCGCCCCGCCGGCCGGGCCUCCUCCAUGCCUUUGAAACGGGCUGAUAGCCAUUAGCCUGGAUUGCAACUACAGGUGGCACUGGAAGCAGACUGGUUCCCGGACAUGCCCGGUGGAAGGAGGGGCCCUAGUCGGCAGCAACUAAGCCGUUCAGCCUUACCUUCUUUACAGACUUUGGUUGGUGGGGGCUGUGGCAAUGGAACAGGCUUGAGAAACAGGAAUGGUAGUGCUAUUGGCCUUCCGGUCCCACCUAUCACAGCCUUAAUCACCCCAGGCCCUGUUCGUCAUUGCCAAAUUCCUGACUUGCCUGUGGAUGGGAACCUGCUCUUUGAGUUUCUCUUUUUCAUCUACUUGCUGGUUGCUCUGUUCAUCCAGUACAUCAACAUCUAUAAAACAGUGUGGUGGUAUCCUUAUAAUCAUCCGGCCUCUUGUACUUCGUUGAAUUUUCAUCUCAUUGAUUACCACCUAGCAGCAUUCAUUACCGUCAUGCUUGCGCGGAGGCUUGUAUGGGCCCUCAUCUCAGAGGCCACUAAGGCGGGUGCAGCAUCAAUGAUUCACUACAUGGUUCUGAUAUCAGCUCGCUUGGUGCUACUUACUCUGUGUGGAUGGGUACUUUGUUGGACGCUCGUCAAUCUCUUCCGAAGCCAUUCAGUCCUCAAUCUCCUUUUCCUUGGCUACCCGUUUGGUGUUUAUGUUCCUCUCUGCUGUUUCCACCAAGAUAGUAGAGCUCAUCUGCUCCUUACAGACUAUAACUAUGUGGUUCAGCACCAGGCGGUAGAGGAAAGUGCCUCAGCUGUGGGUGGCUUGGCCAAAUCCAAAGACUUUAUCUCCUUACUGCUGGAGUCUCUAAAAGAACAGUUUAAUAAUGCCACGCCCAUCCCCACCCACAGUUGCCCCCUGUCUCCAGACCUCAUUCGCAAUGAAGUAGAAUGUCUGAAAGCAGAUUUCAACCACAGAAUCAAGGAAGUUCUCUUCAACUCCCUCUUCAGUGCCUACUAUGUUGCAUUUCUCCCCCUGUGUUUUGUGAAGAGUACCCAGUACUAUGACAUGCGCUGGUCAUGUGAGCACCUCAUUAUGGUGUGGAUCAAUGCUUUUGUCAUGCUCACCACACAACUGCUGCCAUCCAAAUACUGUGAUUUGCUACAUAAAUCAGCUGCUCACCUGGGCAAGUGGCAGAAGCUUGAGCAUGGGUCCUACAGCAACGCUCCACAGCACAUAUUAGCACAGGCCUUCAAGCCCAGGAACUGAAAGAGAUUGGGCCAGGCUGAAAAGAAACCCGACUGUGGGCAAAGGACAAAUUUCAAUAAAAAUUGAAAAUACAAUCCACAGUACUAGUACUGUACAUCUUCAGGCUCCUGAUGGCACAUGGCCAUGAGGUGUAUCAUCACUUUAAUGCUGGUAAGUGUGAGCAAGGCCGGCGGAACAUUUUCUGAACUGGGAAAGCUUCAGGGUGCUAGAAUUUUUUUUUUCUUUAACAUAUCUAAAAUGCUGUCCCAGUUCUUACCCUAGGAGACUAACCUUUCCAAAAUCAGGAAGAGAUGAAUUAACUUAGAUUUUUAAAAAAUCUUAACCUGAAGAUCCUCAUCCCCACCCCAACUCCAUUACAUUGGUGCCGGAAAGGAUGAAGCUUCUUCCGUAACUUCUUUUUCCUAGAGAAACCUCUAUAAAAAUAAACCAAGAAGGCGGUAAAAAGAAAAGUCUGUGUGUCAGUACCUUGUGUGUCUCUGUGUUCUUCUGUAUGGGUUCUCACAUAUAAAGCAUUUGAAGUGUGUAAUAAAUAAACUGAUUUUCUAUAGCUUUUUGGGAUGCAAUUCUGCAGUAAAUGUCACGCUAAUUUGAUAAUGUUAAUUGAUCCACUGUUGUUACCAUCCACUUUCUCUUGUUCCCUCUAGCAUUUCCUCCGAUAGACUCUGCUCACUUGGGACUGAGGUGACAGUCCGCCUGCUUACACUCGAUUUUCUAGCUCAUAGACGCCUUACUUUCACAUUUACUUCUGCUUGUUCUCCUAAGCCUCUUAAGUCCUUUGACACUUUGCAGUUUCUCUCUACUGUAUAGCAGUGAAAUUAUAAUAAAUCCUUUCUAACUCCUUCCAGUUUGACCGUGGAAUAAUCGUAUUUUCAGAAUUCAGGCAGAUGAAUCCUUGAAUACUGAAUCCUUCCCAUAGAAAUAGAGCUGGCCUUGCCAGACGCUGUUUUACCUGUAAUCGCCUGUGUGCUAACAUUGCAUUUCUUUCUCCCUUAGUUGGUCAGAAAAUACAAUAUGGCCUCAAGGGGUGCUGGUGCGACACAGCAGGUGCUUGUAUAGAGCCAUGGGGCCUUACAACGUGGCGGUGCCUUCAGACGUAUCCCAUGCCCGCUUUUAUUUCCUAUUUCAUCGUCCAUUAAGG